AGUGAACGCUGGCGGUAGGCCUAACACAUGCAAGUCGAACGGCAGCACAGUAAGAGCUUGCUCUUACGGGUGGCGAGUGGCGGACGGGUGAGGAAUACAUCGGAAUCUACUUUUUCGUGGGGGAUAACGUAGGGAAACUUACGCUAAUACCGCAUACGACCUACGGGUGAAAGCAGGGGAUCUUCGGACCUUGCGCGAUUGAAUGAGCCGAUGUCGGAUUAGCUAGUUGGCGGGGUAAAGGCCCACCAAGGCGACGAUCCGUAGCUGGUCUGAGAGGAUGAUCAGCCACACUGGAACUGAGACACGGUCCAGACUCCUACGGGAGGCAGCAGUGGGGAAUAUUGGACAAUGGGCGAAAGCCUGAUCCAGCCAUGCCGCGUGGGUGAAGAAGGCCUUCGGGUUGUAAAGCCCUUUUGUUGGGAAAGAAAAGCAGCAGGUUAAUACCCCGCUGUUCUGACGGUACCCAAAGAAUAAGCACCGGCUAACUUCGUG
rnacentral:rRNA from 1 species